rnacentral:lncRNA from 1 species
GGGUCAUACUAUCCAGUAUAAAUUGGUAGGUCACUCAAAUCAUUCCUCCGAUACGAUUUAGUUAUUGAGGCUUUGGAGGCACAAUGGUCUGUGGUGCUUGAGUAUGCUAUCCUCGGAUAGUAGGUUGCAUAGGCUGUCACUCUUGUAUGCUUCGAUCAUCGAGCCUUUGGAGGCAUGGUGGUCUGGCUUGGGCUAUUAAAUAUAUGGAGGCUAGUUAUGACACC